ACGUCCUAGACAUUCAGCGGGUAUGUCCUAGACAUUCAGCGGGUAUUUACCCGCUGAAUGUCUAGGACGUACCCGUUGAAUGUGUAGGACGUACCC
rnacentral:pre_miRNA from 1 species